ACUGCCUCCUGCUCUGCUGCACCUACAAGCUACUUGCUAUUCCAGUCCCUCCCCCUACAGGAUAUGGAUGCCUACAGGAUCUGUAGAAAGGGACAUCAGAGCAGUUUGUAAAAGGCUCCUUGUUCAGUGAACUCUGGAAAUUGAGAGGGGAACAAGCUACUACUUUGUUUUCUGUUUACACCCUGACAUUUAUAAACAAGCGAAAAAUGCAGCCCACUUGUGGAAUAGACAAUAUUCUGCUACUUGGCAAGAAAUAACCCAGGUGUGACGUCACAUUGCCUCGCUGAUUACAGGACCAACUAUAAACCUUUGAAAAGUCAAUAUGAUCAUGGAAUGUGCAUUGUCUCAAUCCCAGGCCAUCAGCAGGAAAUAAGCCCCUCAGCAACAUGAGGUCUAUAGGCCUGGGGGCUGGAAUCCACAGAUACCUUUUUGAAACUGAUCUCCUCUACCACAGCAGAAAUUGCUGCUGGAAAUGACAAGGCUAGUGAACGGUUCAAGGUUAUCAGACUCUGGUUUUAUUUUUAAAAUGUGCAACUUCUAAUUAAAACUGGCUAGUUUCUGACAUCACUUUGUUGUUAAUCAGUAAUCAAUCUCCUAAAUUAAGGCAACCAAGUAUCUUUGUUCCAUAUUGCAUUGGUUUAGUCCUGAAGAUAGUGUCUGUCCCUUCCUCUGAGGGACACAUGAGAACACACACAUGCAGAAUCGUCAAGUGGA